GGGCCGUUAGCUCAGUUGGUAGAGCGUCUCGUUUACACCGAGAAUGUCGGCGGUUCGAGUCCGUCACGGCCCACCA
rnacentral:tRNA from 2 species